GUGAGGAAUAUUGCGCAAUGGAGGCAACUCUGACGCAGCCAUGCCGCGUGCAGGAAGAAGGCGCUACGCGUUGUAAACUGCUUUUAACCGGGAAGAAACCCCAGGACGUGUCCUGGGUUGACGGUACCGGAGGAAUAAGCACCGGCUAACUUCGUGCCAGCAGCCGCGGUAAUACGAAGGGUGCAAGCGUUAUCCGGAUUCAUUGGGUUUAAAGGGUGCGUAGGCGGAGCGUUAAGUCAGUGGUGAAAUCCUGCAGCUUAACUGUAGACUUGCCAUGGAUACUGGCGCUCUUGAGUGCGCUUGAAGUGGGCGGAAUGUGCCGUGUAGCGGUGAGAUGCUUAGAUAUGGCACAGAACACCAAUUGCGAAGGCAGCUCACUAAGGCGAUACUGACGCUGAGGCACGAAAGCGUGGGGAUCGAACAGGAUUAGAAACCCCAGUAGUCC
rnacentral:rRNA from 1 species